AGCAAGUAAAAUUUUAUGACCCUCUCCUCCCAUUUAAUGGGGUACUCUUCAUGGCAUGUAGGGAUGCCACUGUGAGAUCCCAUGAAGAAGAAAGCGAAAAUAAAAAAUUUACUUUCUUGCAAAAUCCUAGAUCUUGAAACUCCUAAGUGUUGUUGUUUGUGAUGCAAGUUACGAAGAUGGUUAGUUACAUCUAAUCUUGAUUAAUCAAA
rnacentral:lncRNA from 1 species